rnacentral:lncRNA from 1 species
GAAAUUUACUGUCCCCUGGAAAGUGUAGAGGGGCCAUCAUCGAUGGAUAAGAAUGAGGGACUCAACAAUAGAAAUGACCUCAGUUUGCUGAAGAUUCUCCUCUGACUCUUCACCUCAACCAUUUUAUAUGGGUUUCUACUUGGUUGAAUUUAGGGUGUGAUAAAAACCUGUUCCUCUGAGAAACACUAGCACACCCAGUCAUUAACUUGGACAUUCAUUGAAUUCCAUUUUGGUGACUAAGAUGUGUGUGUGUGUGUGUGUGUGUGUGUUUUCCCAAGUCCUAGGAAAAGAGGCCAGUCUUACUAGCUGAUGACAGACUCGUUUUCAGUGGGUUUAGAAAUAAUUCAUAUCUGCAAAGAGCUGGAAUAUUAAAAUAUUAGCAGUCCUGAUUUUGAAUAGGGUGAGGUUUUUGGUCCUAAGUCAAGACAAGCUAUGGAAAAUGACUGCUUACUAUUGGAGAACAAGGGGGCCACCUCCCCAACCCACCCCCAUAUCUGAGGGCUUGAUGAAUAAUAGUUAGUUUGAAAUUUUUUGUGUGUCCUCGUUGUUCCCUUUCUGUCACCAACGACUUUGAGGUGUCUCUGCUGUAGAAUGGUGGCAGGUUAAAUGGGUGUGCUUUGUUACCGUUAUUCUCUAUCCUCCUCCCUAGAUACCCUGAAUCUGUGAAGGAAACUACCAUAACUGACUCUGGAGCCAGGCUCUAGAUUUUUUUCUAUAGCAAAAGUGAAAAUUUUCUGUCUUGCGUUUAAGUUACAUAGUUCAAACAUCAGGCUGUACCUCUAUGAACUGUCUGAAAUCAUUCUUCAGACAAAUGAAUAUAAAUAAGGUAGUACUUGGGUUCAUUAUUUUUAAUAUACAUUUUCAUUUCCUUUGUGAGAUAAAAAUUGGUUGGUUCCUUUUUUAAGUUUUUUAUUCUUUUUAGUUAUACAUGACAGUUGAAUGUAUUUUGAC